AACCACUGGGAGUGGGCUGGUUCACACGAUAUAUUCAUGGAGAUGUGCGUUUCUCUCAGAGUAUAUAUACUGAGAGAUUACUUUGAUUCCUAUUUUAGGGAUCACAAUAUUUUUAUCUGAUAGUGAGUAAGAUACGUGCAGCCGUAAUGACCCUAGUGUAGUGGAUGGGCUUUAAAACCCAUUAUCCAGGGAUCCAUAGUGCUCUCUUGGCGGCGGUGAUCACUUGUGUGCUUAACUAAAAGUCACAUUGGGAUUGAGACCAUGGGUUACCUGGGCUUCCUGCUGGGUGACCUGACAAGUGUCUACUCUACAUGGUCUAACUAACUCCCAUCAUACUCGACACUUUGAUUUGUUUGCAGAGCAGUAGUCCACGACCUUCUAGAAGGGCCACAUGUGGCCCUCGGGCUGCAAGUUGAGGAUCCCUGGUGUAGAGAAUUGCAAAGAGGGAAAAAGUGUUUAUCAUCCUCCAUGCAACAGCUUUCAUGCCAGAAGUGCCUGAGCAACAGUCACCAUCCCUACCCACCCGUCCUUCAGAAUGCCGGCACAGUACCUCCUACUCCAACACUUAAGUCCAGGCAUACGUUCUCAACUGCAAAACUGCUGGUAACAACCUUAGUCCAAGUUAAGAGCACAGCUGAUUAAUUUCCGUCAACCUACAGCUAAGUUCAUGGUCAAACCUUCAAUGAGUUACGAGAGUAACCUGGUCUUGGACCAGGCUUGGCUGGUAUCUGGUGCUUCUCUCCAUCACUGCCAGUAACUUCUGCUGUAAAGCAAUCGAUGACAUGCACAUGGUCUCCACAAGCAGCAUAGACAUGAGUGUUGAUGGGAAGGAGUGCCGAGACUACUAGUGAGCCGAGGACAAUAUUAUGAGGUUCACGGAUUUGCCAGGC